GAUGAACGCUGGCGGCGUGCUUAAUACAUGCAAGUCGAGCGAACGGACGAGAAGCUUGCUUCUCUGAUGUUAGCGGCGGACGGGUGAGUAACACGUGGAUAACCUACCUAUAAGACUGGGAUAAUUUCGGGAAACCGGCGCUAAUACCGGAUAAUAUUUUGAACCGCAUGGUUCAAAAGUGAAAGACGGUCUUGCUGUCACUUCUAGAUGGAUCCGAGCUGCAUUGGCUAGUUGGUAAGGUAACGGCUUACCAAGGCAACGAUGCAUAGCCGACCUGAGAGGGUGGUCGGCCACCCGGGAACGGAGACACGGUCCAGACUACUACGGGAGGCAGCAGUAGGGAAUCUUCCGCAAUGGGGGAAAGCCUGACGGAGCAGCGCCGCGUGAGUGAUGAAGGUCUUCGGAUCGUAAAACUCUGUUAUUAGGGAAGAACAUAUGUGGAAGGAACUGUGCACAUCGUGACGGUACCUAAUCAGAAAGCCACGGCUAACUACGUG
rnacentral:rRNA from 1 species